rnacentral:rRNA from 1 species
AUUGAACGCUGGCGGCAGGCCUAACACAUGCAAGUCGAGCGGAUGAAGGGAGCUUGCUCCUGGAUUCAGCGGCGGACGGGUGAGUAAUGCCUAGGAAUCUGCCUGGUAGUGGGGGAUAACGUCCGGAAACGGGCGCUAAUACCGCAUACGUCCUGAGGGAGAAAGUGGGGGAUCUUCGGACCCCACGCUAUCAGAUGAGCCUAGGUCGGAUUAGCUAGUUGGUGGGGUAAAGGCCUACCAAGGCGACGAUCCGUAACUGGUCUGAGAGGAUGAUCAGUCACACUGGAACUGAGACACGGUCCAGACUCCUACGGGAGGCAGCAGUGGGGAAUAUUGGACAAUGGGCGAAAGCCUGAUCCAGCCAUGCCGCAUGUGUGAAGAAGGUCUUCGGAUUGUAAAGCACUUUAAGUUGGGAGGAAGGGCAGUAAGUUAAUACCUUGCUGUUUUGACGUUACCAACAGAAUAAGCACCGGCUAACUUCGUG